AAUGAACGUUGGCGGCGUGGCUUAGGCAUGCAAGUCGAGCGAGAACCCCGCAAGGGGGGACAGCGGCGAAAGGGACAGUAAUGUGUAGAUUAUCUGCCCUCAGGUCCGGGAUAGCUGCGGGAAACUGCAGGUAAUACCGGAUAACAUCUCCGGGUCAAAGGUGUGAUUCCGCCUGAGGAUGAGUCUGCAUCCUAUUAGCUAGUUGGUGGGGUAAUGGCCUACCAAGGCAUUGAUGGGUAGCAGGUGUGAGAGCACGACCUGCGUCAUUGGGACUGAGACACGGACCAGACACCUACGGGUGGCUGCAGUCGAGAAUCUUCGGCAAUGGGCGCAAGCCUGACCGAGCGACGCCGCGUGUGGGAUGAAGGCCUUCGGGUUGUAAACCACUGUCAGAGGGGAUGAAAUGCAGGUGGGUUCUCCCAUCUGUUUGACAUAGCCUCAGAGGAAGGACGGGCUAAGUUCGUG
rnacentral:rRNA from 1 species